GACGAACGCGGCGGCGUGCCUAAUACAUGCAAGUUGAGCGCUGAAGGUUGGUACUUGUACCAACUGGAUGAGCAGCGAACGGGUGAGUAACGCGUGGGGAAUCUGCCUUUGAGCGGGGGACAACAUUUGGAAACGAAUGCUAAUACCGCAUAAAAACUUUAAACACAAGUUUUAAGUUUGAAAGAUGCAAUUGCAUCACUCAAAGAUGAUCCCGCGUUGUAUUAGCUAGUUGGUGAGGUAAAGGCUCACCAAGGCGAUGAUACAUAGCCGACCUGAGAGGGUGAUCGGCCACAUUGGGACUGAGACACGGCCCAAACUCCUACGGGAGGCAGCAGUAGGGAAUCUUCGGCAAUGGACGAAAGUCUGACCGAGCAACGCCGCGUGAGUGAAGAAGGUUUUCGGAUCGUAAAACUCUGUUGGUAGAGAAGAACGUUGGUGAGAGUGGAAAGCUCAUCAAAGUGACGGUA
rnacentral:rRNA from 1 species